UACGUAGGGUGCAAGCGUUAAUCGGAAUUACUGGGCGUAAAGCGUGCGCAGGCGGUUUGUAAGUCUGUCGUGAAAUCCCCGGGCUCAACCUGGGAAUUGCGAUGGAGACUGCAAGGCUAGAAUCUGGCAGAGGGGGUGAGAAUUCCACGUGUAGCAGUGAAAUGCGUAGAGAUGGUGGAGGAACACCGAUGGCGAAGGCAGCCCCUGGGUCAAGAUUGACGCUCA
rnacentral:rRNA from 1 species